rnacentral:rRNA from 1 species
AUUGAACGCUGGCGGCAGGCCUAACACAUGCAAGUCGAGCGAGCGGCGGACGGGUGAGUAAUGUAUGGGGACUGCCCGAUAGAGGGGGAUAACUACUGGAAACGGUAGCUAAUACCGCAUACUAUCGGAUAACCCAUAUGGGAUUAGAUAGUAGUUGUGGUAAUGGCUCACCUAGGCGACGAUCCAUAGCUGGUCUGAGAGGAGAAUCAGCCACACUGGGACUGAGAAACGGCCCAGACUCCUACGGAGGCAGCAGUGGGGAAUAUUGCACAAGGGGCGCAGGCCUGAUACAGCCAUGCCGCGUGUAGGAAGAAGGCCCUAGGGUUGUAAAGGACUUUCAGUCGGAAGGCGUUACCGACAGAAGAAGCACCGGCUAACUCCGUGCCAGCAGCCGCGGUAAUAC